rnacentral:misc_RNA from 1 species
UAGGGAGACCUAAUCCAUUUAGAAAUCGAAAACAAUGAAAAUUGUCAAUAGAAACUAAAUUGGUCUAACCUAGGUCGUUCGAGAUUGGUAGACAUCUUUCAAAGUAUUAUUCUGCUUCGUUCAAAACCAUAUAUAAUAAAUGGAAAAAGACAGCACCUAAUUGUCAAAGUUAGACUGCUGGAUGAAGUUCCAGCCAGAACCUUGAAAACUGCAUAAGAGAACAAGAAAAAGCAGGCAGACACAGACAUUUAGAUGGAUGUGGAAGCAAAAGAAAUUGU